rnacentral:lncRNA from 1 species
CUGGGUACGGAGUAUUCAAGCCCCCUGGGUAUGGAGUAUUCAAUCCACCAAAUUGUGUCUGCCGUGGGUCCACAGAAGUGUGAUUCUCCCCAGACUGCAAAUGCUUUGCAAAGAAGCUAUCAGGGACAGGAGUCAGCUUCUCAUAGCGAGGAUUCCUCUGGCGUUUGUUCCUGGCAUCACCAACCUCUGGAAUGCUCAGCCAUUCCUCUUCUGUGACCUCUGCUAGCUUUCGUUUCAAGUCUGAGAACUGUUGCUGAAUUUUGGGUCGUUCCAUACGGUAUUUUUCUAUCUCCUCUUUUUCUCGUUGUUCCCUUCUUUCUUUCCUCCGCUCGUCCAUCCUUUUAUCCAGAGCAGCAUAAAUAGCAUCUGCUUCCUCAUCAUCUUUUUCAUAGGGACCGCUUGAGAACAGGCUGCCAGCAUACCCAUUGAACUCAUCGUAAUUGGUGUCGUUCAAAUCUUCAUCAUCAUCAUCAGCCGUCUGAUUCUUCUUCAUCUGAUCCCCAACUGUCCUUUUCCCUGGCGGGGCAUGGCGGUCAUCCACGGGGUCGUUGGCAUCGCGUGCAGGACCGAUAUCAGAGCGGGUUGUGAAGCCUGUGGCUCCGCGACCCAACCCCGGCACGUAGCCCAGGGGCGCGGGCAUGCCCAGGAACGGCUUCUUCUUCUUGUUCAUGGCGGCGGCGGGUCAGCCGAGGCGGCGAC